rnacentral:rRNA from 1 species
GAUGAACGCUGGCGGCGUGCCUAAUACAUGCAAGUCGAGCGAACAGACGAGGAGCUUGCUCCUCUGACGUUAGCGGCGGACGGGUGAGUAACACGUGGAUAACCUACCUAUAAGACUGGGAUAACUUCGGGAAACCGGAGCUAAUACCGGAUAAUAUAUUGAACCGCAUGGUUCAAUAGUGAAAGACGGUUUUGCUGUCACUUAUAGAUGGAUCCGCGCCGCAUUAGCUAGUUGGUAAGGUAACGGCUUACCAAGGCAACGAUGCGUAGCCGACCUGAGAGGGUGAUCGGCCACACUGGACCUGAGACACGGUCCAGACUCCUACGGGAGGCAGCAGUAGGGAAUCUUCCGCAAUGGGCGAAAGCCUGACGGAGCAACGCCGCGUGAGUGAUGAAGGUCUUCGGAUCGUAAACCUCUGUUAUUAGGGAAGAACAAAUGUGUAAGUAACUAUGCACGUCUUGACGGUACCUAAUCAGAAAGCCACGGCUAACUACGUG